CUCCUUCCUCCCGGUCAGCUGAUCCGAGGUGGACGGCGUUCCGCGUGUCGGCCAAUUUUCUUGUAAUCCAGGAUGACACAGACGGCCAUGGAUGGAAGCAAGAUGCUGGACUUUGGGGACCCUGGCGGCCAUGGGGAGGUGUCCGUGGGCGCUGGGCAAGGCCGAGGGCGAGGAGUACAGCACACUGGAUGAGGGGGACCAUGGAUGGUGCAGGGCUCUCAGGAGAUGGACAAGCAGGAACAGGGGACCAGAACUCACAGGUGUUCUUCAUUGAGUGUGUGAGUGCCGCUGUCGUCACCAUGAACACCUGCUCGGAGGCACCAAGACCCGUCAAGCCAGUCCGCCGUGCAAGACUGCCUGGUCAAGAUGGGGUCCAGCCUUGCACAGAACUGCUUGGCUGGCCAGUGCCACAAGUUGGUGGUGACAAAGGAAAGCCCUCCAUGACUGCUACAGCCUGAUGGAUGGAUCUCAUGGUAGGGUAUCAUGGGCUGAGAGAGAAGGACGAUGUAGCAAGGUGUGUGGUGACCCAGGCUGUGGAGGGUGGCUGCCACACUCACUGCUCCAGCCACUCACAGCUGUACCUCAGGAGCCAGACACCAUCUGCUUCACUCCUGCCCAGACUUUGCCACUCACACCCAACAGCUGCUUCAUCUUAAGGUGUGUGGUGACCCAGGCUGUGGAGGGUGGCUGCCACACUCACUGCUCCAGCCACUCACAGCUGUACCUCAGGAGCCAGACACCAUCUGCUUCACUCCUGCCCAGACUUUGCCACUCACACCCAACAGCUGCUUCAUCUUAAGG